GGGAUGUAGCUCAGAGGUAGAGCACUUGCCUAGCAUUCAUGAGACCCUGGGUUCAAUCCUCAGUACCCA
rnacentral:tRNA from 1 species